GUGGAUGUGACUCAGUGGUAGAGUGUUUGCCUUGUAUGUGUGAGGCCUGGGUUCCAUCCCCACAUCCCUA
rnacentral:tRNA from 1 species